GCGUGUAUGAGAAGGCCUUCGGGUUGUAAAGCACUUUCAUCGGGGAGGACGGGAGUCAAGAUUAUACGUUUGCUCCUUGACGGUACCUGACCAAAAAGCCCCGGCUAACUCCGUGCCAGCAGCCGCGGUAAUACUCUGGGUGCCCACCCCCGCUAAAAUAC
rnacentral:rRNA from 1 species